AUUUCUUUGGGCCGCUCCCGCGGCAUAUGGAAGUUCCCAGGCUAGGGGUCGAAUCGGAGCUGUAGCCACUGGCCUACGCCAGAGCCACAGCAACGCUGGAUCCAAGCCGCGUCUGUAACCACACCACAGCUCACAGCAACGCCGGAUCAUUAACCCACUGAGCAACGGCAGGGAUCGAACCCGCAACCUCAUGGUUCCUAGUCGGAUUCGUUAACCACUGCGCCAUGAUGGGAACUCCCUAUUAGCAUGAAAAGGGAAACACAGAUAUUAUUUAGACUUCAGCAACUAAAAUUUUCUUUGUUUUUAUCUAAAAACAAGCACUUUUUAAAUUAUAAAAUGCUGUGUUUCUAUACAGUAUGAUUGUUUUGUACCUGAGUAACUAAUUCACAACCACGUCUCCAUAACCCUGAGAAAUGAGAAUAGGUGUUAUCUUCAGCCUCAAAGAUGAGAAGGUGAUAAAGCCACAGUGACUCAGGAAGAAUGCACUUGAGGUUGACUACAUUAAAAGUUUCACAUGACUAUGUUAGUUUGCAAUACCUUGCUCAAAAUGUAACUAUAAAUCGUAUGCUAGACCAGCUAAAAAAAGUCCAUCUCGAAAAAGAAAAAUUUCAAUGAAGAUUUUAAUAUCUUAAAUCUAUCAAUAUUCACUAAAACCAAUCGCCUUUUGAAAAACAGAGAAGAAAAAGCACCAACCACACCCUCAAAAAUUACCUAGUUUGGACAAAGGGCAUACAUUUUACCUUUUAUAAAAGAAAAAAGAGAAUGUGCUAAUUGUAUAUGAGUCUUCUUAGUAGAAAGAAGUGAUUACACAGAACCGAAGUCUAGGGAACGAUUUUCACAGUGAGACAAAGUCUGGGCCUUGAAAGCUGACCUAGGCCCAGAAAACUGAGAGACUUGGCUUUCAGUGUGACAGCGAGUGAAAAUAAUAAAGUAUGCUGAGACAGUUCUUAUGUUAUCCUAACCCAACUUCUAUAUCAUACUCACUACACUAGGCCAUGUCUAGGAAAUCACUGUCCACAAAAAAGCAAGAACUGGAUAGAAUUAAACCCAACAGAAACGACUAUUUCCCCGAAAAGCAGAUUUCUAUAUUGACAUCUUAUGCCAGAGACAGUUCUAAAGAGAAUUAUGUUUGACUCUUAAGAAAUUGCCAGUACUUGAUGCUUUUUAGCCUAAGUGUUGAUUUCAUAUGAUUCAACCUCAGGAGAUGCUAAUAUUUGAAUACUUAUCGAAGAGCAUCAUGAUUCUCUUGAAAGGGAAUGAAGGAGCUGCUAAAAUAGAAGACAGAUAUUUUGUAGAACAUUAGGGUUACUAUAAGAUUGACAAAUCUCUUAUGGAAUAUCAACCUCUGCUAGUUUUCUCUGUACAAGGAUGACAACACCACAGUACUAGUGGAGAGGCCCUUUAUCUGAGGCUCUAAUGGAUUACAUAAGUGACCCACAGACCAGGAACUGUCGGGGUGGGGUGUGAAUAUCUUAGAGAAUAACCCAGGUAAACUCUUGAUUUUUCCUAUCAGAGUUCUUUAGCAUAAUGAAAUAUAAACAUCUUGUUUCUCGUCUGUUAAAAUGGAUCACCAAGUUGCUUUGAUCCAACUUUAUGAAAAUUACUUUAGAAAGGUUAUGUUUCCUUAAAAUUCCUCAGGAAAAAUUUUAAUCUUGGACUUUUACAAGCAACUACCACGACAUCAUGAAUAUAAAGAACGUCUCACAAAAAGUCAGUACUGUAUAAUGAAACUGUAUGAAAGUUGGUAAUUAAGCGUAAUUGAAGGCUGCAGUGAACAUAUAGGCCUUUGUUCUCUUUAAUUCUGGCACUGACUGGGAAUUAAAGAUAAGAGCUUAAGGCAUAUUUUAGUCAGAGUCCAGAUGUAUAAGUCCCAGUGUUCUAAAAGCAAUUCAAGUGAAGUGAAAGAGAAUGGCCAAAAAUAUUUUAGAUGUCUGCCAGGAAAAAAUACCUAUAUUCUGAACACUUAACAUAUUUGAUUGAUCAUAUUUAGAAUCACUUAUUUGGUGACUUUAAAAAGAGUUAAAACAACAGAUAUUCUUAUAUCCAAAAUCUGAUUGAACUACUAAAUUAAUUGGUAGCCAAAAAAAACCCUUUAAAAAUUAACUUGUCACAUUAAACAACACUAUAUUAUCACAUGCAAAAGCAAUACGAACACCCAUACCAAAAAAAAAGGUAUAGUUCACUAGCUCCACAGAAUUCAAUUUCUCUACAAGAAUGAAAGAGGAGGCAACAGAACAAAAUUGAUGUCAUUUUAGCAAAGCUCAUCAGCAGGAUGAGUCUUUCGGAUUUCUAUUUUGGAAGAUGGACAGAAUAUGUAUAUAUGUAUAU
rnacentral:lncRNA from 1 species